rnacentral:rRNA from 1 species
AGAGUUUGAUCCUGGCUCAGGACGAACGCUGGCGGCGUGCUUAACACAUGCAAGUCGAACGGAAAGGCCCCUUCGGGGGUACUCGAGUGGCGAACGGGUGAGUAACACGUGGGUGAUCUGCCCUGCACUUUGGGAUAAGCCUGGGAAACUGGGUCUAAUACCGAAUAGGACCGCAUGCUUCAUGGUGUGUGGUGGAAAGCUUUUGCGGUGUGGGAUGGGCCCGCGGCCUAUCAGCUUGUUGGUGGGGUAAUGGCCUACCAAGGCGACGACGGGUAGCCGGCCUGAGAGGGUGUCCGGCCACACUGGGACUGAGAUACGGCCCAGACUCCUACGGGAGGCAGCAGUGGGGAAUAUUGCACAAUGGGCGCAAGCCUGAUGCAGCGACGCCGCGUGAGGGAUGACGGCCUUCGGGUUGUAAACCUCUUUCACCAGGGACGAAGCGCAAGUGACGGUACCUGGAGAAGAAGCACCGGCCAACUACGUGCCAGCAGCCGCGGUAAUACGUAGGGUGCGAGCGUUGUCCGGAAUUACUGGGCGUAAAGAGCUCGUAGGUGGUUUGUCGCGUUGUUCGUGAAAACUCACAGCUUAACUGUGGGCGUGCGGGCGAUACGGGCAGACUAGAGUACUGCAGGGGAGACUGGAAUUCCUGGUGUAACGGUGGAAUGCGCAGAUAUCAGGAGGAACACCGGUGGCGAAGGCGGGUCUCCGGGCAGUAACUGACGCUGAGGAGCGAAAGCGUGGGGAGCGAACAGGAUUAGAUACCCUGGUAGUCCAA